rnacentral:rRNA from 1 species
AACGAACGCUGGCGGCAUGCCUAACACAUGCAAGUCGAACGAGACCUUCGGGUCUAGUGGCGCACGGGUGCGUAACGCGUGGGAAUCUGCCCUUCGGUUGGGAAUAACUGAGAGAAAUUGCAGCUAAUACCGUAUAAUGUCUUCGGACCAAAGAUUUAUCGCCGAGGGAUGAGCCCGCGUAGGAUUAGGUAGUUGGUGGGGUAAUGGCCUACCAAGCCGACGAUCCUUAGCUGGUCUGAGAGGAUGAUCAGCCACACUGGGACUGAGACACGGCCCAGACUCCUACGGGAGGCAGCAGUGGGGAAUAUUGGACAAUGGGCGAAAGCCUGAUCCAGCAAUGCCGCGUGAGUGAUGAAGGCCUUAGGGUUGUAAAGCUCUUUUACCCGGGAUGAUAAUGACAGUACCGGGAGAAUAAGCUCCGGCUAACUCCGUG